rnacentral:rRNA from 1 species
AUUGAACGCUGGCGGCAGGCUUAACACAUGCAAGUCGAGCGGAGAUGAGGUGCUUGCACCUUAUCUUAGCGGCGGACGGGUGAGUAAUGCUUAGGAAUCUGCCUAUUAGUGGGGGACAACAUUCCGAAAGGAAUGCUAAUACCGCAUACGUCCUACGGGAGAAAGCAGGGGACCUUCGGGCCUUGCGCUAAUAGAUGAGCCUAAGUCGGAUUAGCUAGUUGGUGGGGUAAAGGCCUACCAAGGCGACGAUCUGUAGCGGGUCUGAGAGGAUGAUCCGCCCAACUGGGACUGAGACACGGCCCAGACUCCUACGGGAGGCAGCAGUGGGGAAUAUUGGACAAUGGGCGGAAGCCUGAUCCAGCCAUGCCGCGUGUGUGAAGAAGGCCUUUUGGUUGUAAAGCACUUUAAGCGAGGAGGAGGCUACUAGUACUAAUACUACUGGAUAGUGGACGUUACUCGCAGAAUAAGCACCGGCUAACUCUGUGCCAGCCGCCGCAGUAAUAC